GAUGAACGCUGGCGGCGUGCCUAAUACAUGCAAGUCGAGCGAACGGACGAGAAGCUUGCUUUUCUGAUGUUAGCGGCGGACGGGUGAGUAACACGUGGAUAACCUACCUAUAAGACUGGGAUAACUUCGGGAAACCGGAGCUAAUACCGGAUAAUAUUUUGAACCGCAUGGUUCAAAAGUGAAAGACGGUCUUGCUGUCACUUAUAGAUGGAUCCGCGCUGCAUUAGCUAGUUGGUAAGGUAACGGCUUACCAAGGCAACGAUGCAUAGCCGACCUGAGAGGGUGAUCGGCCACACUGGAACUGAGACACGGUCCAGACUCCUACGGGAGGCAGCAGUAGGGAAUCUUCCGCAAUGGGCGAAAACCUGACGGAGCAACGCCGCGUGAGUGAUGAAGGUCUUCGGAUCGUAAAACUCUGUUAUUAGGGAAGAACAUAUGUGUAAGUAACUGUGCACAUCUUGGCGGUACCUAAUCAGAAAGCCACGGCUAACUACGUG
rnacentral:rRNA from 1 species